rnacentral:rRNA from 1 species
GAUGAACGCUGGCGGCGUGCCUAAUACAUGCAAGUCGAGCGAACGGACGAGAAGCUUGCUUCUCUGAUGUUAGCGGCGGACGGGUGAGUAACACGUGGAUAACCUACCUAUAAGACUGGGAUAACUUCGGGAAACCGGAGCUAAUACCGGAUAAUAUUUUGAACCGCAUGGUUCAAAAGUGAAAGACGGUCUUGCUGUCACUUAUAGAUGGAUCCGCGCUGCAUUAGCUAGUUGGUAAGGUAACGGCUUACCAAGGCAACGAUGCAUAGCCGACCUGAGAGGGUGAAUGGGCAAACUGGAACUGAGAACCGGUGCAGGCUGCGAAGGGAGGCAGGAGGAGGGAAUUCUUCGGAAUGGGGGGAAGGCUGAAGGAACAAAGGCGGGUGGGUUGAGAAGGUCUUUCGGUUCGAAAAACCUGGUAAUAGGGAAAAAAAAAAGGGUAAGGAACUGUGCACAUCCUGGCGGGAACCAAAUAAAAAGGCAAGGCUAAACUCCGU